ensembl:lncRNA
AGAUGCAGUUUUUGCAGUAAAACGUGGGCUAGUUGAGAGUUAUGGGUGUAGUUGUCUGAACUUUUUGAGAAUAACCAAUGUUAUGACAUCAAAUUUCAAGCUCUUGUAGACUUCUCUUAUUUCACACCGUUGGCUUCCCUAUUCUGCUUUUUGAAGAAACUUAGCUACAUAAAAGAAAUAGGCAGCUUCCCCAUUAACUUGUAAGCAGGGAGAGGAGGCAGAGAUUGCUGACUUCGUAGGCAGCCCUAGGGAGCAGCUUGCCCUCCUUCUAUAAAAGGCAUUUGUGCUGUCCUGCAUGUUCUUUGGGUUUGGAAGUUGACUGCUGAGGGUGUUUCACUAAUACCAGUGUAAUGUGUUAUGACUCCAUGGACAACGUUUGUCCUCUCCUGUACGUCCCGGCUGUGUCCUCACACACCUGAGAGCUGCUGAACCAGGUCAUCUAAAGAUGUAAAUCACAGAAAUCCUCUUCAGUUGCAUCUCUCUGGCAGCCGGAGCCCCAGAGCACAGCAGCAGUGCCUUUCUUAGAAAGGUACAGUGGGAAAUCCUCUUGCUGAGUCACCCACUGCUCAGUGCGAUCCGUUAUGCCAAUCCCAGCAAGGCGUCAGAGCCAGGGCUCGCUCUUCCUCUAAUGGCUUCAUAAAUUGGAGAGCCUCAUUUUUGUCAUUAGCUCGGGCUGGGGGACCUGCUGCCUUCUCCUCCCUUUAUCUGUGCCCCCUCCGCCUGCCUGCUUUCCUCUAGAUGGCAUUACAGGAGAAAAGGAAUUCAGAUGGAAAAGCAGACUUAACUGCUGGAGAACGCAAACUUGCAGGAGCUGCUUUGCAUUUUGAUGGUGCUCGAUUAUUCUAUCCACUAGACAAGCGCAUGCAAUAUUAAUACCUCCCAUGUCAAUCUCAAACAGGAUGCAGAUGAGUAUUUGCUCUGAGCAGUUUUAUUGAUUGGUUCCUCAUCUAAACAGUUUUCUCCAUCUUUCUUUUUGGGUAAUUUGCCAAUGAUUUCCCAGGAUUUUUGUGUUUGUGCAGGGGGGAAAAGAGGAAAACAGAAUCAUAUAAGUGCAGCUUUUGAUGUGAAAGGACAAGUGGAAACCCUUUUUAAAGGCAAAAAGCCACCUUGUCCUUCUCUGCCUUUUAUCUUCUCGUUUUUUUACAAGUAACUCUGAGGUUGCAGAAACAAUUUAUUCUGCUCUAUUUUUCCUAGUUUGUUUUCCCUCCUGCAUUUGACAGUGCUAUCUGCAUAAUCAAUUUCACUCUUCCACUGUAGUAAUUCCUCUUUUUAUGGGACGUUCAGGCAAGCUGCAAUGAGGGAGAUAUUUAUUUAUUUUUUCUUUAAAGACUUCUUCAACUGCCUAUGCUGGCUGUAAUGCAGGCAGUCUGGGGGACUGAGGGACUGUCUCUCUCUCUAAAAAAAAGUUUAGUGCACUCCAAAUAUUUUCAUUUUAAGAGAACUGGGAACCAAAGACUUUGAGCAGCUCUCUUAGUUCCCGUGAAAGUCUUUUCAUUACUCAAACUGAGCUAAGGAUCCUCCCUCUCUUGCAGAAUUCAUCUCUUAUAAAUUGUGCUUGAACUGUGUGUAACUUAUUGGGAUGCAUCUCACAGUGCUUUGUCUGUGAUAUCAAGCCCGAGCGUGCUUCCAAGGGCUGGAUCUCCUCUGAAGCACUCUGGGAUCACAGUGACCUUCUUUGUGGCUUCAUUAUAGGGGUUCUGUUGUUGUAGGGUCCGCAUCUCUUUCUCCUCAAAUACUUUCAAGCACAAGCACCCAGCUUAAUAUACCAUCUUUUAUCUCAAAAUAGUUUUAAAAAUACCAGUUCUGCUAAUUGUGUAGGCAGUGUCAUCCAGACCUGCAUGAUAUUCUUAUAAGAUCUGCACCUUCUGCUGCUUUCAAAAGGAUGACUGUCCUAUGGCAUUAGAAUAUUGAGAUGUUUUUAAUUAGUAUGUUUCCCUACAGCUGUUUCAGCUGUGGUUGUUUCUUUGCACCUCCUCUGCUCCCAUCCUUCCUGUGUACUCUGCAUGAUCAGACCAUGCUUAUAGUAUGUUCUUGUCCUUUGUAUCUAAGUCUGCUAAACAGCUUUAAUUAAUACGAAUAAUAAAGGUUUUUGUCACUUCUUUUAAAUUAUUACUUGUCUGUUUAAAAGAGACAUUAAAACACAACCUAUCCAAGGCAAAAAAUGUAUUUCUGAGGUGAUACCUUUCUAAUUCUUCAGCUCCCAACCUGUGUAUUCUGAGAGUAAAUAAAUCA